CUAAUUGUGUGGGGAGGUAAACAUGGCAGUCAAGUGGAGAGGACGACGAGUCAAGCGUGAAUAUCAAUCUCCCCACAUCAGUGUCAUCAGAUGACUUUGACUGAGUUUAGGAGCCCUCAUUAGAACAGCAUGCUGCAGGCCGCAAUAACAUCCAGGUGGAGGGAUCCGAAGGAGUUGUGGAAGCCCGCAGAGCGAACCAGUUAACAGGUUCCAGAAGAUGAGGCGUGAAGAGGAAGAAAGAUAUCAGAUAACAAGGUGGCGUGGAGGCGCGGCACGUGGCGUCACGCAACAACCGGGAAGGCAGUGACAGGGACAGAAUCAAGAGGUCCCCAGUAUUAAAGGUAACGCCAUGAGUCGCCUGUCGCCCACUAGCAGUCUUUUAACAGCACCUGG